rnacentral:rRNA from 1 species
AUUGAACGCUGGCGGCAGGCCUAACACAUGCAAGUCGAACGAGUGGCGGACGGGUGAGUAAUGUCUGGGAAACUGCCCGAUGGAGGGGGAUAACUACUGGAAACGGUAGCUAAUACCGCAUACCAUCGGAUGUGCCCAGAUGGGAUUAGCUAGAGGGUGGGGUAACGGCUCACCUAGGCGACGAUCCCUAGCUGGUCUGAUAGGAUGACCAGCCCCACUGGAACGGAGACACGGGCCAGACUCCUUCGGGAGGCAGCAGUGGGGAAUAUUUCACUAUGGGCGCAAGCCUGACGCAGCCCUGCCGCGUGUCUGAAGAAGUCCUUCGGGUUGUAAAGUUCUUUCAGCGAGGAGGCGUUACUCGCAGAAGAAGCACCGGCUAACUCCGUGCCAGCAGCCGCGGUAAUAC